UAUAAAGGACCUAGAUGAGGAUAAUAUGAUGGGGACAAAUCAGCACGAUUUCUAUAGCCUCUCGGAUUUCUUUGAAAUAGUUAACAAAUAAUGGAUAAAGGAGAACCAGUGGAUAUAAUUUAUUUAAACUUUCAAAAGGGUUGGAUAAAGUCUUUUAAAGGAGGCAAUUAAGGAAUCUUGCUAACAAUGGGGUAGGAUGUAAAGUCUUGCCAUGGAUUUAAAACUGAUUUAAAGACUGAAAGUUGAAAGUAAGAUUAAAUGCCCAUUUCUUGCUGCUGGAAGGAGACAAUAAUGGCUGUUCAGGAGUGGGGCUAGGAAUGGUAGGCUUCAUUAUUUUUAACAUAUAUAUUUUAUUAAAUUGCUAUUGUGCAUAGAAUAUGAUUAAGUAGUAUUCCCUAGGAAAUACUGUAGGUUAAUAUUAAGUAUCUGUGUUAUAGAGACUGCUCUAGUGCUGUCAUGCUGUAUUCAAAAGGAGAAGAAACAGGAAAAUAGAGGGAACAAUAGCAAUAACACUUCCCCCAAAAGAUGCUUCUCCACUGAAAAAAACAUGACCUGCUUCCUGCACCACCUAAUCUAAACCAGCACAGUUCAUGAAACACAUCAGCCCUGAUCCAAGAACAAAAUCAAAUCUCAGUCUAAAAUGUCCAGGGGAGUUUUGUCCAUCCUUUGAACUUGGCAUAUCUGCCCGUUUACUGCAAUCAGCCCUCGCUGCGGUGGAGCUGUGAUCUCUGCUGGGGCUGGCAUCAAGGCACUCCAUGGCCAAGGCAGCUCUAGCCUCAGGUAGGGCUGGGGAGGAGAAGGAGAAAUUGCAGAACAUCUCUGCAAACCUGGACUAGUCCAGAUAAUAAAAUUUUGAAUGAGAUUUUUCAUAGAAAAGGUAAAAUAUGUAUCACAGAAAUGUGCAUACAUUUAGAGCAAACUUGUAAGCCCUGAAUCUGUCAUAACUCAUCAGGAGAGUGACACUGGUGUUGUCCCACUCAGGACCAUGAGGACGCCUCUGGGUGCAGAAAAAGACAGGGAAGUCUGCACCAUGCUGACUGUGUCCUUAUCUUCAAGACACUGGCCCCAAUAACAGGUGUCCUCCCCCAGCAUCUAGCAGAGAUGGACAAAUUUUCAGAACAGUUAGGGGUGUUGAGUGCGAAAUUGUGGAUGAGAAAAAAUUAAAACCUGGGACUAUUUUAUAUGGGGAGAAGAAGGAUGAUCAAUUACAGAAUGAGGACUACAACAAAGGCUGGUCAGAGGCUUGCACUUGCUAUCCUGGAAGUCAAAAAUCCCCUGCAUUUAAUGUCUGUGUUGCAGGAGAGGGAGUGGAGAACCCUUCUCUCCCUUGGUAACAGGAAUCUCUUGGCACAGGAUAUUGCUGCAGACAGCCAGUUCUUAAAUCUCAUAGCAGGGUGCAUUAUCAUAAAGAGUAUCAUGUAACAGAGUUAGCUGAGGUCUGCCUGGUACUGAAUAACACCAAAUAAAACCCUUCCAGUUAGUCACUCUACCCCCAAAUUUCUGCACCUUGAAUUCCGUAUGCUCCUGAUGAAUGGGGCUAUCAGGAAUGAGACUCAAUGCCAUGGACUAUAUUUAAGCACAGUAGCAGAAUGAUAUUUUGAUGCUUAAUUUCUUUGAUCUUCUGUUGAAUUUAAAUUUGCCUACAGUGGUUCCCCAGUUUCAAUUAGUACACAAAACAAACUUUGCGUAUUUUCUGAGAUUAUGUUCUUCAUUAUAUGUUGCUGUAGUUUUAUGUGUUGUUGCCAAGAAAUCUGCUUUUGACAAAUUGCACAGGAGGCAUUUUGAGAUUGUGAUGGAGUUGAUUGAGUUUUGGCCAAAUCCUGUACACUUUUAUCACUGAAGACUGAAAUACAGAUGCUUGUUACAUUAAAAUAUAUAGAAUUUGCUUUGGCCCUGAAAAUCUGUGUCACAUUUUAAAAUAACCAAUUUGGGUACAAUUUGAGUUAAGUGGCAAGUAAACAAUGCAAAUGAAACUGUUUUGUUAGCUAGAAAGUAAUUGAAAAUCUGCAACUAAUUAUAAAUUGGCAAUAUACAAGUCUCCAGGAAGCUGAAAGGAAUACUUUGCUGAUAUAUUGUUUAGUUAUAUUCAAAAUUAACUUACUCUGCAGUUUGUGCAAGAGAUUUUAUUGCUUAUUGUAACUUUACUUUUGAAAAAUGAAACAACUCGUAUUUCAUACGAGAAAAAGUGUAAUUUUUUAAUCAAAGACAACCCUUGUUAUGUUACAUGAUUUUUAUUUUUUUUAUUUCACAUGAGUCUUGAGCUUCAGCUUUCAUAUGGAGGUUUGAAUUUCUUCAGUGUUUAUCAGUAUUCUAAGUUUUGAUUGGCACCUUCAUUGUGUUUUUCAACUCAUCACCUCAACACAUUUCUCAUACAUUAAUGUAGCUGUACAAUACCUUUGAGAAAGAAGAAUGUGUUGUCACACACGAGAAGGAAUUCUUUGCUUGUAUUUGGUUUAGGAAAGUGUGGGACAUUGUCGAUGCCACCUAGAUCUGUAACACUAGAAACUAGUCAAAACAUCCAGAUAAUUGUCGUGUGGGUUUGUGUUGCCAGAAUGUGUGCCAUGUGCAGAUGUCAGGUUUUGGUGAAUAUCAGCUGUUGUGAUUGAAGAAUUGUUAUUUAAAAGGAACAUAUAAAUACACAAGUUUUGAUAAAUCAAUGUGAGUAAUUACCCAGUAACCCAGUUUACCAAUCCUUGAUGUACAUAACAUCAUUCAAAAAGCAUUUCCCAGAAUCUGGAGAAGUGCAGGGGGAGAAAUACUUUUCUUAGAAUGCUCUGAACUAUCCUUUAUCCCAGAGCAGCAGGCCAUGAUGGAAAGCUCAAUGCUAUCUCUAUUUUGGUCUUGUCACCAAAAGCCCCAAGAGACUCCACAGCAAGCAUGGACCCAAAGUCCUUCCAUGAUAAAUAAACAUUCUCAAGCUUUCCCAAACUCAGAGUUGUUCAGGUAUGAUGCAGAGGAUGCAAAGCAGGUUUGUGGGGGAGCAAAGUAACCCAGAAGUUACUGUUGUAUCAUUCUGUAUUAUACAAAUGGGCAAGAAAAAGAGUAUAAAGAUUAAAAAUUACUUCCUUUAUUCAGAUAGAAUAUGAGUAAGAGCCGCAGGGAGAACUCCAGACUCACAGUGCCAGGGUAACCAUCAUUAUGUUGUAUUCACCCACUUGGCAAUUGGUUUCUCUGAAUAAACAUUUCACUGAUAUGUGCUCUCCUUUAACAAACCUUGACUCAAAGAAAUUUCAGACUGGAAUUUUCUACAGCCCUCUGCUGUUUCCCCAUAAACUAGUGCUGAUUAAGUGAGUCAUAUAUUCUUCUGAUAUUAAAUUUUUAAUAUAAAGUCUUGUAGUCAACAACUAGUAGAGAUACCUUUUGAAACCUGUGAAACACCACUUAGAAAUGGUUCAGCACUGUCCUGUGAUACAGUGUGGGCUCAGAUAUGAUGCUUGUAGAGCUGUGUAGGGGCCAAGCAAGCUGGGAAGAUGUUUCCUAGUCAGUCCCGCGCUGAGGAAAUCUGGACAGUCUGUCAUUAAAAGGAAAAGGCUUCAGCCAAGGAAUAGACAUCUUUUCUUUCUGCAGUAAACAUUCCCAGACAGGCCAGUCUCACAGUCCUUACAUAAGUAGCUCCUGUGAGUACAGGUUGCAGGAUGAAAUCCAUAAAUACCAGGCUUAAACAAGCGAAUCUGCAUCCAGAGCAUUUUAAUAAAAAGUUAGCUUGGGUCGUGGGGAAGGAGGGGAUGAAGCACUGGGGGAAUGGAGAAUAUGAGUCAUGGCAUCCAGACUGAAACAAAUCUUUGAGCACGAAUCACAAUAUAAAAUUUUAAGGGCUUGAUCCUGCCUUUGGCUAUGCUGGUGUGUAUUGUUACAUAUCCUGUAAAAUCGACUACUGUUACAUGUUAUGUGGUACUGUGCACCCACAUAACUAAGCUCUGAGCUCUUGGUUUUUACAGCCUUUAUUUUUUAAAUCCUGUAAAUGCUGCUGGACUUGGCUUUUCAGAAUGUUGAACAGAUGCAGCAAGAUUUUCCUAUACUUCCUACCCACUUACAACCCCGAAUAAUUAGUGGAUGUGUUGCACUUUUCGAUAAAGACUUCUUAGAGAGCUGUUUGGUGAAUAAGGCCACACAGAAUGUGUCAUUGUUUCUGCUGCAGGUUUUGAGUUUAUUUGUGUAUUAUGGGUACUGUAUACCACAUAAUAAUGAAAAGCUAUAUGCUCCGGUCUGCUGGUUCACUACACAGUCUGUGUGAUUACAAAUUGUUUGAAUAACAGUGGACUAUUGAAACUCUUUCCAGAUGUGCGUGUUGCUAAUUAUGGGAAUACCCACAAAGGCGGAUUAUCUCUUUUGUUAGCAUUUCCAACCCGUUAAAAACCAGGAAAGUGAAAAGCAUGUAGGCAGCAAAUAAGAAGUAGCCGUACAUGUCAGAGAUGAAGACUUUCAUAAUUAAUUCCCAGGGAAGAAAAACUCUUGACCUGGCAGGAUGCAUUUCUGGAGUGUAACCACAUGCAAUUUAAUGCACGGGACAGAUAUCCCAAAGUGGCAGAUUCUGAAACAGUCCCAGAAAAGGCAUAACAUCAUUCACAGCAGGGAGAGCCCAGGUAAAGAAGGACAUGAUGGGGAGAGGGAUCUGAGCUAUUGUCAGUUUUCUGCAAUAUUUAUUAAAAAAAUAUUUCAAUAACUUGAUGUGAGGUUUUGGAAGGACAGGUAGGGGCAAAUGUGAUCAUGUCUUUCCAGAAUUUAAGUCCUUUAGAUUUAGUGAGCUGGACCACUAUCCAGAGGGGCCUUUAGAAUGAACAGCACUCUGAGUAUGAAGGACUCAGUGUGUUUCCAGGCACCACACUGGGAUGACGAUGUUUUCACAUUGUCUUCCAGAAGUGCUGUCUACUGGCUUUGGACAAGGGACAACAUCAUGUCUAGUCAUAAAGUGACCCUCAAUCACUUUUUCUCUUUGCUUCAUUUCAUGAGUUGCCAUGAAUCGCACAGGAGAUGAAAUGCAGGAGGUAGAAGGAGAAAAUGCCAGUGGCAAAAAUUCAGUGUGGGAUCCAAACUGUUUGAGAAAAACAUAGGAACAGAUGAAAGAAAGGCUGUUGAAUGGCUUAGCUACCUGUCUCCUUAACAGCUUGUGAUGAGGGGGUUCUCUGGAGGAGAGAGAAGAUAUCUGAAUUCAGACUUAACCCCAUUUUGUAUAGCUUAAUUUAAAUAAAAAUGAUGUGUUUCCUCCUGA